rnacentral:rRNA from 1 species
AUUGAACGCUGGCGGCAGGCCUAACACAUGCAAGUCGAACGAGUGGCGGACGGGUGAGUAAUAUCUGGGAAACUGCCUGAUGGAGGGGGAUAACUACUGGAAACGGUAGCUAAUACCGCAUACCAUCAGAUCUGCCCAGAUGGGAUUAGCUAGUUUGUGGGGUAACGGCUCACCAAGGCGACGAUCCCUAGCUGCUCUGAGAGGAUGACCGGCCACACUGGAACUGAGACACGGUCCAGACUCCGACGGGAGGCAGCAGUGGGGAAUAUUGCACAAUGGGCGAAACCCUGAUGCAGCCAUGCCGCGUGUAUGAAGAAGGCUUUCGGGUUGUAAAGUACUUUCAGCGGGGAGGCGUUACCUGCAGAAGAAGCACCGGCUAACUACGUGCCAGCCGCCGCGGUAAUUC